GGCGACCGGCGAAAGGGUGAGUAACGGGCGUGAGCAAACGUGCCCGUAUGUGGGGGAUAAGUCGAUGGAAACGUCGCGUAAUACCCCCGUAACACAGGUUCCCGCAUGGGAUAUGUUGAAAAGAUUAAUUGCAUACGGAUCGGCUCGCGUGCCAUUAGGUAGACGGCGGGGUAACGGCCCACCGUGCCGACGAUGGCUAGGGGUUCUGAGAGGAAGGUCCCCCACAUUGGAACUGAGACACGGUCCAGACUCCUACGGGAGGCAGCAGUGAGGAAUAUUGGACAAUGGCCGGAAGGCUGAUCCAGCCAUGCCGCGUGCGGGAGGACGGCCUAUGGGUUGUAAACCGCUUUUGCGGGGGAGCAAUAAGUGUUACGUGUAACACGAUGAGAGUACCCUGCGAAUAAGCAUCGGCUAACUCCGUGCCAGCCGCCGC
rnacentral:rRNA from 1 species